AGUCCGCAACGAGCGCAACCCCUAUUGUUAGUUGCCAUCAUUCAGUUGGGCACUCUAGUGAGACUGCCGGGUAAUAAACCGGAGGAAGGUGGGGAUGACGUCAAAUCAUCAUGCCCCUUAUGACCUGGGCUACACACGUGCUACAAUGGUUGGUACAACGAGUUGCGAGUCGGUGACGGCGAGCUAAUCUCUUAAAGCCAAUCUCAGUUCGGAUUGUAGGCUGCAACUCGCCUACAUGAAGUCGGAAUCGCUAGUAAUCGCGGAUCAGCACGCCGCGGUGAAUACGUUCCCGGGCCUU
rnacentral:rRNA from 1 species